CACCACGUGACCGUCCUGCAGGGCUUUCACCGUGCAGCUCAGGAUGGCAGCAACAUCUGAGGGGAACACCAAUGUAUUGAUUGACCAAAUGGAAAAACUGUGCUGAAUUGCCACGUUUUCAAGACUUCAACAGAAAUGCUGUUCGAAUUGUCCCCGUUCAAACAAUCUCGUGGUGCUUCGGAGAAAGUUGGAACGCACAAGUAGCAACGAGUUGAUGACAAGACCAGUCCGACAGGUAGGCGCAUCCAACCACCUGAUGCAAUAUGCCGCCAUGUUAGCUUGCCUCGAUCUUUAAAGUAUCUCUAUCAAAGAUACUUGGGGUCAUUUGUUGGUUGUUGGGGCGAUUGUGCAGUGACCUACCGGUAGGAAGAAACGGCCCGUCGCCUGUGACUGGCCCCAAAUGCAGCACUUGGGUCUUGAAUCGAUGACACAUUUCACUUCCGACACGGCAAACGGCAGAACGGUGAGCAGCUCUGGAUUGAAUUAGUAGUACUGCUAGCUCUCCAAGAUACUUCAUCAAAGCGUUGACAAGUGGAAGAGGUGAAACAUGGUCAAGACGCACGGGCGGCACGGCAUGAGUCAGUAGGGAAGCAAAGUCUUCCGGGUUACGCCCCCAAUUCAUGACGUCACCUUCCUUAAAGGCUUAAAAAUAAAUAAAUAAAAAACAAAACCCAUUCACAGAAGUCAUUUGACAUCAAACACAUUGUUACUUGCAGUACUGAAUAUUUGGGUUCAUUUCAAAGAUACUAUUUACGGUCGAGCACGCCCACGAUGACGUGUUUCGUUGGCUAUUUGAAUCAGCUGCCGGUGGCCCCUGAACUUGACUUGUAAUGCAUUCUUUGGAAAGUGGCUAAGUUUGUUUGUUUUUUGAAGUAACGCGCUUUAGAGAUCGACAAAAGCCUCCGCAAUGUCUGAGGCCAAUGAUGCAAGUGCACCUGCAAUGAAAACGGAGGAGAUUAACGAGAGAAUACGGAUUACGAGUGAGAAAAUAACCGUGUGCGAUCGAAUCUUGGAGGACUUGAAAGCUCUCCAUCAUGUUCUGACGCAAUUUCCCCAGGAUGCGACCUCGCCGCCGCCGCCGCCACAAAAAUGACAUGUUGAAAGAAUAAAAGGAUGACGCUGUUGUGAGACAAUAA